AUACGCUGGCGGCGUGCCUAACACAUGCAAGUCGAACGAGUUGUUUAUAGUAGCAAUAUUGUAAACGGCAAGUGGCGAACGGGUGAGUAACACGUAGAUAAUCUGCCUUUCAGACGGGGGAUAACUCAGGGAAACUUGUGCUAAUACCCGAUGAGACUACGGGAGGGGACUUCUGUAGCCAAAGGUGGGGGCAACCUCGCGCUGAAAGAUGAGUCUGCGUCCUAUCAGCUAGUUGGUGGGGUAAAAGCCUACCAAGGCGAAGACGGGUAGCCGGCCUGAGAGGGUGAACGGCCACACUGGGACUGAGACACGGCCCAGACUCCUACGGGAGGCAGCAGUGAGGAAUUUUCCGCAAUGGGCGCAAGCCUGACGGAGCGACGCCGCGUGAGGGAUGACGGCCUUCGGGUUGUAAACCUCUUUUAUUAAGGAAAAAGGCAAUCGUGCUAAUACCACGGUUGUUUGAUGGUACUUAUUGAAUAAGCCCCGGCUAACUACGUG
rnacentral:rRNA from 1 species